GUAGGGGAGUGAGAAUAGUCGACAGUUGAAUAGCUUGGCCAGAGAAAGAGGGAAUGAAUGAUCGGCCUCGUUCUGGAUCUCUUUCCUUGCGCCCUAGUCCAUUCCAUCUAUCUUGACUGCAACUUGGAUUCUUUCUUGACUGCUAUUUGGAUUGGUAGUCCGUCAAAUCUCUAAGCAGGUGGCUAGAAAACCUUCCGGAAUAGGAGGAAUAUCUGAUAGUUUCU
rnacentral:lncRNA from 1 species